CCUACGGGAGGCAGCAGUGAGGAAUCUUGGUCAAUGGGCGCGAGCCUGAACCAGCCAAGUCGCGUGAAGGAAGAAUGUCCUCGGGGUUGUAAACCUCUUUUAUAAAGGAGUAAAGUGGGGCACGUAUGCCUUUACGUAUCUACUGUAUGAAAAAGGAUCGGCUAACUCCGUGCCAGCAGCCGCGGUAAUACGGAGGAUACGAGCGUUAUCCGGAUUUAUUGGGUUUAAAGGGAGCGCAGAUGGGUUGUUAAGUCAGUUGUGAAAGUUUGCGGCUUAACCGGAACAGUGCAUUUGAUACUGGCAGCCUUGAGUGCAGAUGAGGUAGGCGGAACUCGUGGUGUAGCGGUGAAAUGCUUAGAUAUCACGAAGAACUCCGAUUGCGAAGGCAGCUUACUAGUCUGCAACUGACGCUGAUGUUCGAAAGUGUGGGUAUCAAACAGGAUUAGAUACCCCAGUAGUC
rnacentral:rRNA from 1 species